rnacentral:rRNA from 1 species
GACGAACGCUGGCGGCGUGCUUAACACAUGCAAGUCGAACGAUGAAGCCGGAGCUUGCUCUGGUGAAUUAGUUGCGAACGGGUGAGUAACACGUGAGUAACCUGCCCUUGACUCUGGGAUAACUGCGGGAAACUGUAGCUAAUACCGGAUACGACCCUCGGAGGCAUCUCCUGGGGGUGGAAAGAAUUUCGGGCAAGGAUGGACUCGUGGCCUAUCAGCUAGUUGGUGAGGUAAAGGCUAACCAAGGCGACGACGGGUAGCCGGCCUGAGAGGGUGACCGGCCACACUGGGACUGAGACACGGCCCAGACUCCUACGGGAGGCAGCAGGGGGGAAUAUUGCACAAUGGGCGCAAGCCUGAUGCAGCAACGCCGCGUGAGGGAUGACGGCCUUCGGGUUGUAAACCUCUUUUAGCAGGGAAAAAGCGAAAGUGACGGUACCUGCAGAAAAAGCACCGGCUAACUACGUGCCAGCCGCCGCUGUAA